UGUGACAGUGAAGGGAGGAUGAAUCUGAAAUGAGACCCAGAUGCACCCAUGUGGGUAUGUUCGUGCAAACUGUGCAGGGCCUGCUUAAAUGUGCUACGCGGUCCGGGCACCCGCUGCCAUUGCACAAGGCCAGCUCGUCCUUGCUUUGCAUUUAUCUCUCUGAAUAGUUAGCGCAGAUCUUCAGGGUUUGCUGUUAAACCACCCGCGACGAACCAGAGGGAGACAUGGGGGAGCAAUCUAAAGUUGAGUCCUUCUCUAGACUUCUUUGGAUCUGGGUAAAAAUGACAGUGACAAAGCCAUCUCCUCCAUAGCGUUCAUUUGAAAUCCAAGCGGAAACCACAGACUGAACAUGUUCUCCAAUUUUAAAUAGAUCUGGUGAAAGUAUUAAUCACUUGUCUCUGUCACAGCAUUGUUGGGAUGUUGUGCUGCCUGCAGGCAGAAGGUCUGAUCCUGGAAGGAAACGGUGUGAAGGCCCCAGCUCCAAUUUUGCAACGUGAAAUGCUCAGAUCAUCUGGAUCAUUUCUGGAUGAGAUUUCAGGUUUCUCAGAGGGGCGUUUUAUCUCAGGUCUCCGUGUGCAACCCCAGCGAGGGAAAGAUGCUGCUGUUUUCACCUGGCUGAAGCUAGUGGAGGUCAACUGCAGUCAAGGGGCACUUGCUACACCGCAAGGGUAACAGGUACGAUGCCUCCCAUCCGCUGAGACUGUAUGCCGAGAGAGGCAGCGCGGAUUAACAACUACAGUGGAAGAAGCACGCCUGUUUCGAAGGGAAGGUGAAGCCCCUGUCUUACAAGCACAGCUGCUAAAUCAUAGCUGUGUGUCUGAAGCUGAAGUCAGUGGAAAUGGGCACUUAGAAACAGGCAAAACUCACAAGUCCUCCAUCGCCCAUGGAUGGAUGUCUCUUGACCUGAGGGGCUGGAAGUUAUAGUUUCUAAUGGUCCUGGCAUCUUAAUAGAGUUGAAGGUGGAUGAAAUUUGUUCGGUAAGGUGAGUCUUAGUAAAUAGGCAGCUAGGCUCCUAGUUGUAUGAAGUUCCUACUGUAAUUCUGGGACAGCAGCUGGCUCCCAGAGGUGUUGGAGGGAAGAAAACCAUCAAAACGUCUUCCCCUUCCCUCCGCGGGUCAGACCCACUUCUCUCCCGCAGCUGUGCGCAAUGGGCAGCACUCCUCUGCCACCGCUCCCACGGCCGGGGCAGCUCACUCAAGCUGCAGCACUCCGGCCACUGCCGGCAUGGAGAGGUUCCCUGCGGUGACUGGAGUUCAGCUUUCAGCCAGCGGAUAUGCCUGCG
rnacentral:lncRNA from 1 species